rnacentral:rRNA from 1 species
UGAGGAAUAUUGGUCAAUGGGCGGAAGCCUGAACCAGCCAAGUCGCGUGAGGGAAGACGGUCCUAUGGAUUGUAAACCUCUUUUGCCGGGAGCAAUGCCGCUCUUGCGAGAGCGGAGGGGAGGUACCCGGAGAAAAGCAUCGGCUAACUCCGUGCCAGCAGCCGCGGUAAUACGGAGGAUGCGAGCGUUAUCCGGAUUUAUUGGGUUUAAAGGGUGCGUAGGCGGGCUGUUAAGUCAGCGGUCAAAUGUCGGGCUCAACCCGCCUGCCUUGCAAGUCAUGCGGUCGUUUGAGUGAGCGAGAAGUAUGCGGAAUGCGUGGUGUAGCGGUGAAAUGCAUAGAUAUCACGCAGAACUCCGAUUGCGAAGGCAGCAUACCGGCGCUCAACUGACGCUGAGGCACGAAAAGCGUGGGGAUCGAACAGGGAUUUAGAUACC